CCCUUAGAUGCUCUGGGCCGCACGCGCGCUACACUGGUCGAUGCAACGAGUUUCUUUCCUUGGCCGACAGGCCUGGGCAAUCUUUGAACAUCGAGCGUGAUCGGGAUAGAUUCUUGUAAUUUUUGAUCUUAAACGAGGAAUUCCUAGUAAACGCAAGUCAUCAGCUUGCAUUGAUUACGUCCCUGCCCUUUGUACACACCGCCCGUCGCACCUACCGAUUGAAUGGUCCGGUGAAAUCUCCGGACUGGCGUGAGUCGGAGCAAUCUGACAAACGCCGGAAAGUUGAUUAAACCUUACCAUUUAGAGGAAGGUGAAGUCGUAACA
rnacentral:rRNA from 1 species